UACGGAGGGUGCGAGCGUUGUCCGGAAUCAUUGGGCGUAAAGGGCGCGUAGGUGGCCACUUCAAGCGUGCGGUGAAAGUCGGGGGCUCAACCCCUGAUCGGCCGUGCGAACUGGGGGGCUGGAGCACUGUAGAGGCAGGCGGAAUUCCGGGUGUAGCGGUGGAAUGCGUAGAGAUCCGGAAGAACACCGGUGGCGAAGGCGGCCUGCUGGGCAGUUUUGCUGACACUGAGGCGCGACAGCGUGGGGAGCAAACGGG
rnacentral:rRNA from 1 species